GAUGAAGAACGCAGCGAAAUGCGAUAAGUAAUGUGAAUUGCAGAAUUCAGUGAAUCAUCGAAUCUUUGAACGCACAUUGCGCCCCCUGGUAUUCCGGGGGGCAUGCCUGUUCGAGAGUCAUUUCACCACUCAAGCCUCGCUUGGUAUUGGGCAACGCGGUCCGCCGCGUGCCUCAAAUCGACCGGCUGGGUCUUCUGUCCCCUAAGCGUUGUGGAAACUAUUCGCUAAAGGGUGUUCGGGAGGCUACGCCGUAAAACAACCCCAUUUCUAAGGUUGACCUCGGAUCAGGUAGGGAUACCCGCUGAACUUAAGCAUAUCAAUAAGCGGAGGA
rnacentral:misc_RNA from 1 species